ensembl:antisense
CGAACCGGAACCGGCUGCGAGGCAAAAGGGUUUCCGGCCGGGCGCGGACCGCAAAGCCCGGGAACCUCCGGGAACCGGAACCUUCUUUACACUACCGGAAGACCGUUUGGCGGGCGCGGAGGAGGGAAGGGGGUGGGGCAAGGGGUCAAAGAGCGAGCUACAGGCCCGCGGGACGCCUGCGCGAGGUGGCGAGGCCCCAGCAGCGGAGGGGGCGUUUGACUCGCGUCUCCGUCUCCCUGUCUCCCUGUCACCCUGUCGGACCGGGGCUUUUUCUCUUCGUCGCACUUGGAGUACUGUUAGUGCGCCCGCCGUCCUUUGCUUUUCUCUGUCCCUCGGCUCCUUGACCCGCUGUCUUCUGGUUCCGUUCCGUGACCUUUUUUUUUUUUUUUUUUUUUUGGCUUACGCGCAGGUUUCCAUGGCAGCUGUUCGCUGGGGCCCUAGAUGUUUGGAAACCUGCGCCUUCCCUGACAGAUGAGGAUUUGAGUUCUAAAUAGAUUUCUAACUCCAUCUUCUGAAAAUUAGUGUGCAUCUUGCCACGCUUGACUGAUCACAGGAAGUGGGGCUAGGGGGAAGAGCAGAGACUAAGAAACUUUGGGAACACCUUAGCUUAGACUCUUAACAAUCCGCUUAGCCUUAUAUAACUGGAAUAAUUUUAAAGUGAUCUCUAGUGAGGUUCACCAGAGGUCUUAAACAUGUAAUCAAUGCUGAACUUUUAAAGACAGAAUGGAGGAAAAAUUAGCUUGUUCAUUCAAAUUAUUUACCGAGCUUCGUAAUUUAAUUACGCCUCUGGCCCAGACCUAUUUAGAAGCUUUGGAAAGAGGCUUCAGAAUAGUAUUCUAGAUUCAGGUGACUGCCUGUCUGAAUUAACUCUUGAAGAAGGAAAAGCCUCUACCAGCCUCAUCCAUUCUCUAAGCAUAAGGAGAUAACCUUGUUUGUUCAGGGGAUCCUGACUUGUUAUGUAUAUAAAAGAUUAUUUACUUAUAUCACCUUAUAUGCUGAUAUUUUUAUAUGGCCAAGUCCUAAAACCCAGUGGUAUUAAGUAUACCUAACCAUGUUGACCUUUGACACUUUAAAUAUUCUAUGGACCUAAUUAUUUGGAUUAAACUGUCUUUACUUCUAGGAAAUAGCCAUGCAUAGAGAGGAGUUUCAGCUGAGAUUUUUCAUGUGCGUGUUUGAGUCUCGCCAAGUAGUCAGGACUACUGAGAGCACAGGUACCAUUGGUUAUGUUACAGUGACAAGGGAUGAGUUCUCUCAGAGCUAUACAGGAUGAGAACUUCUGGCAGAAUUAUAAACUUAAGGGGUCAACAGGCUUGUUUUCUAUUCCUAGUUAGAAAAAUAUUUUGUCACUGUGUUGGGGUGUUUUCUCUGUACAAGUAUAAGGGAGAUGCUAUCCUCGUCCCAGGCAAAGGAGGGAAACUUGGGAGCUGAGAACAAGAAACAUGGAACACAGGGUGUUGAUUUCUAUUUUAUAGAUUAAUCUAUCUGGGCUCACUUGUAGUAGGAGUCCUUGUUGAUACUCAGUGGGCACCCCCAAACAUGUAAGUCGGGACCUAAAGAGAACUUCCUGCCACUCUUUUCUGACCGGUAGUGAUGUGCUCUGCUUUGCCUCUGUUAUUACUAAAGGAAUGUAACUGUUUGGAGGUAGUAAACUAGUUACUGAGAACAAUCGUGGAUUCUCUUAAUCUUCUUCACUGUGUUUAUGCUAAAGAAGUUCUGAAUAGCUAAGCCUCUCAGGGAAAGUAAAAGAGAAAGGAGCAUACCCUCCCUGGUCCCCACCACGAUGGUGACCUACAGUUAUCGCUUCCCAGCUCAGGAAGCUUCAACCUCCACCAUGACCAUACCGAAGUCAAAGGCAGGCGACCAGAGGAAACUAGAGAAUAUGGAUGAUGAUCUAAACAUCGUGGGACCUAUCCCUAUUCUUGACACUGGUGAGGCCUGUGAGUAAAUAAUAGGGGUUGGUGGGGAAAGGCGCGGUGAAGAGCAAAAGGUAUGUUCACAGCACGAGGGUCAAGGUAACAAAAUACCCAAUGCGGGGUAAUGUAGAGAAUGAGUUUUAUUCACAGUUUAGGAAGCUGGAAGCCCAAGAAUAGACAGCCAGCUCCUUUUGUUUGGCUUCUGCUUAGGAUUCCCUUGGUUGAGCCACAUCACAGCAAGAACAUAAGCAAGAAGGAGGGAUCACACAGUAAAACAGUAAGCCAGAUAUGGCAGGGCGGAGGUGGGGGGGGUGGCAGUCUGUCUGUCUUAUAACAGCCUUCUUUAACAGCUGCCUGGGAUCCACAGGACCUCAUUGGCUCCUGCCCAGGCCACUCCCUCCCAGCAGGGCUCAUGCUGCCCCAGAUGCAGUGCUUUCAACACAGGAAACUGAGAGAUGCGCUCACUUGGUUUCUAAGCCAUAGCUACACCAAGUCUCCCUCGUUACUCUAAGCUAUGUAGUCCGACUUCUGUAUUGUUAGUAAACCUUAUAUAGAAAAACGUGAAACUC